rnacentral:misc_RNA from 1 species
UUAAGUUCAGCGGGUAUCCCUACCUGAUCCGAGGUCAAACAUGGGUAAAGAGCUUGUGGACGCCCGUGGCUCGGUCUCAGUGCGCUGAUUCUGCUGCGCACCAAACUAAGGACAGGCUGCCAAUUCCUUUAAGGCGAGUCGCGCACGUAGGCAGGACAAACACCCAACACCAAGCAGAGCUUGAGGGUUGAAAUGACGCU